rnacentral:misc_RNA from 1 species
AUAUAAAAGUGUCAGGUAUUUCAGAGUUUUGAAUGAAAAGCCUCUUGACAAUUUUACGAUUUGUAAUUUCUGUAAGUCAGAUUCUACAAAAUGAAAAAAACAUAUAUGCUAUAUUAGGAUCACUGAUAUAUAUAUAAUAUACUUGUUCUAUAUUUGUAUCAAUGAGGUUUAUUUCCGUGAGGGUGGUUUACCGUGACCUGACCAAGGCAUCGUAACCCACUGGAUGGAGUGGGAGAAGACGUUCCCAGGGUGGCCCAGUAUAAUGUAGUCACAGGUCGGUGAUGUGGAAUGUUCCUACAGAAAUAAAAGAUUUUACCAUU